rnacentral:ncRNA from 1 species
GAGCCAAGGGGUUGGGACGCUCUUCAACGGAGCGACCUAGGGGUACAGGGGGUGCCUCCAUCAUGAACCGGGCUCGGUUGAAG